rnacentral:lncRNA from 1 species
UGCUUAGUUUUAGUUGCGCGUUAAAGAGCCCCCCGAUGGUCAAAAUUAAUACGGAGUCCGCCACUACGGCGUGCCUUAUAAUCAAAUCGCGGUUUUGGCACGAAAAAUCCCAGACUUCAAUUCAAUAUCGUGCUUACCUUGCUAAUGUUUCAAUACGUUAUGUCUUAUAAAGCAUAAUACACAAAGGAGAAGACACAGACACACAAGGGCACUAUCAACCAAGUUAACGGUGCGACUAUGCGUUGCUGCGUCAUUCUAUAAGUGCGUUUCCUUGCAUUUAGCUUGUCGAUUUAGAAAAGCAUCACGAAGUCGCACGCAAACUGACUAGCCCUUAACAAACUCUUCGAAUGCUAAAAUUAAAAGCAGGG